rnacentral:rRNA from 1 species
AGUGAACGCUGGCGGUAAGCCUAACACAUGCAAGUCGAACGGCAGCACAGUAAGAGCUUGCUCUUACGGGUGGCGAGUGGCGGACGGGUGAGGAAUACAUCGGAAUCUACUUUUUCGUGGGGGAUAACGUAGGGAAACUUACGCUAAUACCGCAUACGACCUACGGGUGAAAGCAGGGGAUCUUCGGACCUUGCGCGAUUGAAUGAGCCGAUGUCGGAUUAGCUAGUUGGCGGGGUAAAGGCCCACCAAGGCGACGAUCCGUAGCUGGUCUGAGAGGAUGAUCAGCCACACUGGAACUGAGACAAGGUCCAGACUCCUACGGGAGGCAGCAGUGGGGAAUAUUGGACAAUGGGCGCAAGCCUGAUCCAGCCAUACCGCGUGGGUGAAGAAGGCCUUCGGGUUGUAAAGCCCUUUUGUUGGGAAAGAAAAGCAGCAGGUUAAUACCCCGCUGUUCUGACGGUACCCAAAGAAUAAGCACCGGCUAACUUCGUG